rnacentral:rRNA from 1 species
GACGAACGCUGGCGGCGUGCUUAACACAUGCAAGUCGAACGGAAAGGCCCUGCUUUUGUGGGGUGCUCGAGUGGCGAACGGGUGAGUAACACGUGAGUAACCUGCCCUUGACUUUGGGAUAACUUCAGGAAACUGGGGCUAAUACCGGAUAGGAGCUCCUGCUGCAUGGUGGGGGUUGGAAAGUUUCGGCGGUUGGGGAUGGACUCGCGGCUUAUCAGCUUGUUGGUGGGGUAGUGGCUUGCCAAGGCUUUGACGGGUAGCCGGCCUGAGAGGGUGACCGGCCACAUUGGGACUGAGAUACGGCCCAGACUCCUACGGGAGGCAGCAGUGGGGAAUAUUGCACAAUGGGCGGAAGCCUGAUGCAGCAACGCCGCGUGCGGGAUGACGGCCUUUGGGUUGUAAACCGCUUUCGCCUGUGACGAAGCGUGAGUGACGGUAAUGGGUAAAGAAGCACCGGCUAACUACGUG